AAAGUCGUAACAAGGUCUCCGUUGGUGAACCAGCGGAGGGAUCAUUAAAGAGUUGCAAAACUCCAACCCCUGUGAACUUUACCUUUUUGUUGCUUCGGCGGCCGACGCCUUGCCCGAGAGGGCCGGGAGAACGCCGCCGGAGGUUCGAAACCCUGAAUUUUAGCGUAUCUCUGAGUAAGAAAAGAACACAAUCAAAACUUUCAACAACGGAUCUCUUGGUUCUG
rnacentral:misc_RNA from 1 species